rnacentral:rRNA from 1 species
AUGAAGAAUUAUGCAGAUAAACAUCAAACUGACAAGCAGUUUGCGGUUGGACAGGAGGUAUUUCUGCAAUUGCAACCUUAUGUACAGUCUUCUGUUGUUCACAGGGCCAACCAUAAGCUGUCAUUUAAGUUUUAUGGGCCAUAUAAGAUCUUAGAACAUAUUGGAGAGGUGGCUUAUCGAUUGGAACUUCCAGAAUCAAGCAAGAUACACCCAGUCUUUCAUGCUUCUCAUCUCAAGCAAUACAUAAAGCUUCCUUCUCAGGUACAAUCAUCACUUCCUUCUGACCUUUCACUCAUUCAGAUUCCUGUGCGAGUGUUGCAACAGAGAAUCAGGCGCAAAGGGGACCGUACUGUUGCUCAAGUACUUGUGGAGUGGAGUAAUUCAUCGCCCCAGGAGGCCACCUGGGAGGAUACUGAUUCCUUGAAGCAAAAGUUUCCAAGAGCUCCGGCUUGGGGCGCUAGUACUUCCAUGGAUAACGCCAACAGUGCUGAGAAGGAGGGAAGAUUCAAAGGCAACGCUCCUGGGCCAGCGGCGCAGCCCACUCUCGAGAAAAGGCUUCCCCAGUGGCUUGCAAGCCCGAACUGGGCCCGAUAA